GACCUUGCAAGACCUUUGGAAACCUAUUGGAUUCCAGAAAGCCUGUGUAGGUUGUUGGAGGCUGAGUUUUCACAAAGUCACCAACAAUAAUGUUCUCUACACCAUUUGGCAUGAGAUUGUGACGAGCUACUCUUUGCAGCUCGAAAUCCAGUGGGCGGACUGGUUUAUCACAACCAUAGGGAGGUGAUAUCAGACCUAAAUUUUCUUGACCUUGCAAGACCUUGGAGGAUCUUAUUGACUCCUCAAAGUCUAAAAGAGCACUCCCUCCAGCAAAAUGGCUGUCCAGUACUGAUGGUGCCUGCUGACUAGUCCGCAGUUUCUUCAGUCUUGGUGAGGACUGAAUGCUCAGUGGUGGUAAGGAAACUGAAGAAUCAAUUUCCCAAGGAGAAACCCGUUCCUGAUGAUUACUCAUUAUAUCUUCAUCCCAUCUGACCAUCAAGCAUCUCCAUUUAGAGUUGGGCCAUCUAAAGGGAUCCAUAUCGCUUAUCCCAGUCACUACACCGCUGUACCUUCUUUCAGGUGAAUCAUCCAAAUCAAAUUUCAUUUUAAAUCUUGUCCCAACAGGAAUCCGAGAGUUGAUGGCUUUCACGUACUUUUGGUAAGGUACAACGAAAUCAGCAUGACUUGCCCUUGGGCUAUAGAAAACAUGGAAAGUGCUCUUUGCUGAUAGGGCUGUAGCAACUGACGAAAGAACAUCCGGUCCAGAAUAUUGACUUUUGAUUAUCGAUUCAGGAAGCCCAUUUCUAGGUCUUGCAGCUCUUCUUAUUCCCAGUCUGAGAUUUCCACCUUCUCCCCUCAAGAAGAGAACUGCAUCCCCUGAGACAAGAUUCUUUUGGCUGACAAAGAUACUCCAUCCAGUAGUGAGCAAAUGUCGCCUUGGCUGGCCUCUAUAAAUGUGACGAAAUUUCCACUCUACUCCGUGCAGAUCCUUAGCAAUUAGCUCCUGUGAGGGUCUUUGCUCUUUGUAAUCCAGAGGGGGGAAGCAGUCUUCAGCUGCUCGACGGGGAACUGAAAAGCCACCAUGGGUGGUGGUAUCCGAAGCAGUCAGCGUUUUACAGAACAUGUGAGAAGCUGAUUUCCCUGGAUUGACUCCAUUCCCUUCCUCAUCCGUCCCCGAAUCUUCAUGUUCUUUCCCCUCUAAGCUUAUAGCCAUUGACUCUGGAAGAGGAAGAAGAGUGAGCUGUGUAUACACCUCAUCAUUUUCCUUAUUUGCAAGCAAUUGGACAUCUUCCACUCUACAGAAGAUCUGAGGCUGAAGACCAAAAGUUGGUAAAUCAAUCUUGACAGGUGAAAAUGGAAAAGCAGAAACAGCUUCUUCCAUAUGACCUUGAGGGAAAUAAACCACUACAUUUCCUUUCUUGGGUAAACUAGUAAGAGGACCAGCACAAGCAUGCCAAAGCUCUUUAUAAAUUGAGGUAAGAGCAAGUGAAGAAGAUGAAGAUACAUUUGAAGAACAAGAAGAAGUAGUGGAAGUGUACAAAGAGC
rnacentral:misc_RNA from 1 species